rnacentral:tRNA from 1 species
AGGAGUGUAGCUCAAUUGGUAGAGUAUCGGUCUCCAAAACCGACGGUUAUGGGUUCGAGUCCCUUCACUCCUG